AACGCACAUUGCGCCCCUCGGCAUUCCGGGGGGCAUGCCUGUUCGAGCGUCAUUACAACCAUCAAGCACAGCUUGGCGAUGGGCACCCCGCCUCCGGGCGGGCGCCCCGAAACCGUCGGCAGAGUCACGCGGACCGCCGGGCGUAGCAGAAAAGGAAGGCUCGCGCCGACCCCUCACGCCCACGCACCGCGUCCUCCAGCCGUAAAACCAAUGGCCCGCCAGGGCCGACCCAAAGGUUGACCUCGGAUCAGGUAGGGAUACCCGCUGAACUUAA
rnacentral:misc_RNA from 1 species